CUGAUUCAUAUAUUUGUGUAAGUGAAUUUAUUUUAACAAUACUUAUCAUCAGUAACAUGCACUAAGCAUGUCCAUUAUCCAUACAAAUCUCUACUAAAAAUCUUAACUAAUAGACCAAUUUGACCCGAUCAUUCGUCAGCGACAGAAUUAAUGCGACUUUCUGUCGGACAGAGCUAACAUGAUCUACGUACAUCUUUCACAAACGCGAUCUGACUCAUAUAUUUGUUUAAGUAAAUAGCAUUUUUUUAUCUAACAGGCAGAACGCUUUUUACUUCAAUAUUUACCAAGCGAAUUAACGUCUAAGUGAAUCACUGAUCGCAAUUAGUGCGCAGUGUUUCCUUUGAAUGAUGAUUCAUGGCCGAACACAUGAACACAUUACGCGAUACUACAAUUUGUUUUGAGUGUAAAUAAAAAGCAACAAAAAAUCUUUUACGCCAAUCAAAUUAAGAGAAUUCGAUCUGUAUGUAGCCUCUGCGGGAUCUGGUAACCGCUUAACCACAGAAGAGGCUACCGACGGAUAGACGAAACGACGCGACCAAUCUUGCUUCGAGUGGGCGCGUUGCAAAACUUAGGAUUCUAUGACAUUGCAGUACCUGCUAAGGAAUCCUUGGCUUAAAUGGCGGCCGACGUGACCGAAGCAAUCGUGAUUGUGAUUCACAGCGUAAAUAAAACCAAAAAAAAAAAAAAAGAUAACUGAUAAAACGAUUAACACUUGCUCUAUCACUAUAAUCGCUUAAUAUGUUGAAAGUCCAUUACGUAUUUAUUAAUCUGUUAAUAGAAUAAUAAAACCGAUCUCGUCAAAUAUUAUAUCUACUUUCACCGUGUUACGAAACCGGUUAAUACUGGUCUUGUUCGUUUGACAUCGUACAGUACGAAGAAAACUUUUUAAUUCUUUAUAAAUUGACUAUAUUAUACCUAUGUUUUUUUCGCCCUACUUAUUCGCUGGAAGCCUAAGAGGCUAUUCCCGCUAGGUCCGGACGUGGUAGGUGAGCUUACGGGCUCAAUCAGGCGGAUUUUGGUAUGACUAGCCCUAGCAAGAGCAGUGCUUCGCAGAGUCUACCACCGGAUCGAAAUCGCGACCCACUGAGAAGAUCCGGCGAAAAACUCAGUGGGCUAUAUACCUAUACCAAUACACACACUUUAUGCACUACGCGAUAAAUAUAUAAUACUAUUCCGUUUAUUUUUAAUGCAAGAUCAACAUUUAGAUUUAAUUCGGGAUAAAGUAAUAAGUAUUUGUUUAAUAUUAUUUUUUUCAAAAAAAUAGCCGUUCUUGGUUAUGGUGAUGGUAUACUUUAUCGUUAAUAUAGAAUCAUUCAUUGUGUGACUACGCGCUAUUAAGUUUUCCUUUGUAUUUAAAUACAAUUAUCUGAUAAAACCGAUGUAAUUUUCCCGAUAAGCUAGUAACAUUAUAUUAGUAUCAAAUAAUAUCAACAUAUUUUUCCAAUAACUUCUAGUAAAAAAUCAGACAUACUUCAAGACCUUCAUUAUUAAUUACGGUAAUAUUAUGUUACUUUGAACACAAUCUAAUUCAGACACAACAAGUCGAUUAAAAUCUAUACCUACGUAUAUGUUAGUUCGGCUACGUAUGUUUUAUUACGACACGCAAUUCGCCUCUAUUAUUAUUGUGUGAACCUCCCGGGCUCUACUGUUUCAUCACGAAGUAAACAAUUCACAUGAGUCACGUUUUUUUUUUUUCUAAUUACAAUACGAUGCACGACGUCUCUACUCUAACACGUCAAUCCGAAUAUAAUAUUUGAUCCGGUAGUUUUAUUUUAUUUUAUUUGAAACUAACGACCCGCCCUUGCUUCGCUUCGGAAACUGUAAUUUAUUAUUGAUCAUAUUGAAUAUUCUCUUAUACAAAUCUGGUCCUGACAGUAACAAACACAAUAAAAAAAGAUCGUAACAAACAAAAAAUCUAAUUCCUCUUCUUAUAUUAAUGGUUCAUUAUUUUGGCGAUAAUGGCUUAGAAAUAAAAGGUAGAUAUUAUGCUGUCAAGGGCUAGGAUUAUUUGAGAUAAAAAUUUCAAUUUUACAAUAAAUACGUGUCAAUCCAACAGUUUUUGCGGCGCACGCAAAAAUAGCUCGCAGAUGGUAGAUCUUUUUUCCUUUUCAUUUGAUACUUAUCGUUAUAUUUUGGGUAAUUAACACUAUAUUUUUAUAAAUUACUAGCUGUACCCGUCCGCUUCCCGGGUCAUUUAAAAUUAACAUUAUUAUUUCUCACCCCCAUAAAGAUUCUCAUCAUUAACGCCCCCGCAACUGGUUUAGGGAGUCCAACACUCAUAUAAAUAUUAACCUAUCCAUUAAGUACAUGUAGUUUCUACAUGGAUACCAAGUUUCAAGUCAAUCGGAUGCAUGGUUCAGUAGUUAUAACGGAAUAUCCGUAAAAACCACAUAUUAGUUUUUUUUUUUUUUUUUAUAACAACUAAGAGGCAAACGAGCAAGACGGGUCACCUGAUGGUAAGUGAUUCACCGCCGCCCACGGUCACCAGCGUUUACGCCAGUGCGUUGCCUACCCUUCAGGUAAGAGUAUGUAGUAUAGAUACCCUAUGUGUUAUUUUGAUGUUUAAGCUUAGUGUCAUAUUUAUUUAAUCCGAAUCCACGACCUAAAAAAUAAGUUUCAAGCUUUUAGCUCUUUCUAGGAACUUUACUACGUCCCCUAAUUUCUUUCGAUUUCGUAUCCCCGUCCACAUUUCUCCUGGAAAACAAUCCAAGUUGGUCAAAAUCAAAGUUCCAAUGCAAUUGGAAUAUUAACUUGAUUGACAUAAGGUGUCAUUUACGUUAUGUUAUCUCCGCUAACCAAUUUAUAUCAAAUGGACCGCGAGCACGUCUCACUAUCUCAGCUAAUAACAAUUGCAUGCCGAUUCGUUAUCAGCAGCUAUGACAUCAUGAAUGGGUUAAUAAACGGCACGUUAUAAUAUGUUACCAUGUAGUCCACAACAUGUGCAUUAUUAUCGAGUGCGCGUGCAUGCAGGUGUACAUAACAGUGUAAUUAGAGCGGGUGGAGGCAGCGGUGUCGCCUUAAAUCGUACCACAAAUGUACAGGGUGUAAUUUUGGGAGGCUGUAUACAAGCGACAAGAUAAUAUUUAAGCCCACUGAGUUUCUCGCCGGAUCUUCUCCGUGAAUACCGUCUCCGAUCCGGUGGUAGAUUCUACGAGGCACUGCUCUUACUAGGGCCAGUGUUAGCAACACUACCGGUUUGAGCCCCAUGAGCUCACCUACACGUCAAGGUGAAGGUGAAAUAGCCUCUCAAGGUAAUCAGCAUAGGUAGGAAAAAAUAUAUUUACACAUUUUAAUGGUUUGCAAGUUUAUGAUUUAAAAAAAGUUCAUAUAUUUACUACACAAUGUAUCUAUCAUAAAUAGUAAGAUAGCACUAUUCGUUGAAUCUACGAUUUACUUGAGUUAAACGUUUUGUUGCUCGGGAUAGAUUCAUUUUCCAAGUGGAACUAUAAACGUAUACAUCGAUUUUACUUUUUAAUUUUUCCCUACUUAUUCGCUAGUAGCUUAAGAAACUAUUCCAGCUUCGCGCGGACUCGAACGCGAAACUCAAUAAGGGUUGUGUCUAUAGGUUAAUACAUCGGAUACGUGGUACGUCAGAUGUAAAGCCUUCGUCAAACAGAACGCGUAAUUAGCGCGCGUCAGAGCGCUAAACCGACGCCGCGCUAUGACGCCGAGAUGUGUUGUACUACUAUGGUAAAAUACCGUCAAACAGAGAAACCGCGCUAUAAGUACGCAGCGCUCUGUCGCGGCGUUAGGACGCUUUGACGUCAGGCGUUGUAAUUUUUUACAAAUUUUAUGUUAGCGUCCGAGUGAAUGUGUAUUAAAAUACUAGAUAAUGCCCGAAAAAAUUAUAUAAAUAGUUAGAAAAUACCCAUGCUUAUACAAUGCCACAUCUGAAUCACUCGAUUUCUUAAUACUUUUCAAUUUUCACACUGCUAUCGAAAGGCACUAUGAUUUGCCGAAUGCGCUGCGUCAAGGAGCGUUAGACUCAUCUAGUCAAUUUGAAGAGCGCGACGAUAAGUACGCGGCGCUAAGUACGCGUUCUGUUUGACGAAGGCUUAAAGCAACCUAUUUAGCGUUACUAUCUAUACUAAUAUAUAAAUCUACAGUGGUUUUUACGGAUGUUACGCUAUAACUACUGAACCAUGCAUCCCAUUGACUUGAAACUUGGUAUCCAUGUACAAAAUACAUGUACUUAAUGGAUAGGCUAAUAUUUAUAUGAGUGUUGCACUCCCUCAUAAUAAUGACAAUAAAUAAUAAUGUUAAUUUUAAAUGCCCAGCGAAGCGGGCGAGUACGGCUCGUAUUUUAUAUAUAUUAUAGAUUUCUAUACCAGUAUAUUUUAUGUAAUAAAUAAUUUUUA